rnacentral:rRNA from 1 species
UACGUAGGGGGCUAGCGUUGUCCGGAAUCAUUGGGCGUAAAGAGCGUGUAGGCGGUCCGGUAAGUCCGCUGUGAAAGUCGGGGGCUCAACCCUCGAAUGCCGGUGGAUACUGUCGGGCUAGAGUGCGGAAGAGGCGACUGGAAUUCCUGGUGUAGCGGUGGAAUGCGCAGAUAUCAGGAGGAACACCGGUGGCGAAGGCGGGUCUCUGGGCAGUAACUGACGCUGAGGAGCGAAAGCGUGGGGAGCGAACAGG